GCAAGCCUGGCUGACUGCUGUUUGUCGAUUGAUAGAGUUGGCGUGCUCUUCUGUGACUUGCCGAACUGUGAGUUAUCCAGAAGUGAAAGACAGGCCUUGAUCUCGCCCGUGCUGUAAGGAACCGUAUUGAAUUACACAGCAUAUUGAUGAAGAUGUAGGAAAAACUUACCUGGAUAUGGUCACCAGGGUGUUAUGCAUGAAACCAAUUCCCUUAACACGAUUGUCGUGCAUCUUUAUCAUCUUGGACUGUGGAAAGAACAAAGGGGAAUCAUCAUAUGUGGCAUAGCCAUGCAAUGCAACCAUUCUCCAGACCCACCACGCAGUUCUGCUCGUCAGGCCAGGCGACACAGAUGGGCUUCGAUGUCAGUGAGA